UGAGUAACGCGUAAAGAACUUGCCCUUUAGACUGGGAUAACAGAGGGAAACUUCUGAUAAUACUGGAUAAGUUAGUAUAUCGCAUGAUAUACAAAUGAAAGCUACGGCACUAAAGGAGAGCUUUGCGUCCUAUUAGCUAGUUGGUAAGGUAAGAGCUUACCAAGGCGAUGAUAGGUAGCCGGCCUGAGAGGGUGGACGGCCACAAGGGGACUGAGAUACGGCCCUUACUCCUACGGGAGGCAGCAGGC
rnacentral:rRNA from 1 species